UACAAAGGUAUUGUAAUAAGGUUUUAAUUGAAUGCUAAAAGAAUGGAAUUACAGGGAAAAGUUUUUUUAAAUUUAAUAAUUGAAGUUAUUUUAAUUUGUGAAGAAACAAUUAUAUAAAUUAAAGACAAGAAGACCCUAAGAAUUUAAGAAUUUUUAUUAAUAUAUUAUAUGUAUAUAUAUAUAUAUAAAUAAAAUUCUUAGUUGGGGCAACUAAAAAAUAUAUUAAACUUUUUUUUUAAAAAAAAUGAUCCAUUAUUAAUGAUAAUAUGAAAAAAAUACUCUAGGGAUAACAGCGUAAUAAUUUUUGAUAGAUCUUAUAGACAAAAUAGUUUGCGACCUCGAUGUUGGAUUAGGAUACUUUUUUAAUGAAGAUGUUAAAAAAAGAAGUUUGUUCAACUUUUAAAUUCCUACAU
rnacentral:rRNA from 1 species